UUUUUGUUGGUAUCAUACUAAGGAAAUACCUCCGAACCAUAUUAACCGACCUGUUGCAACACUGCUCACUGAUAUGGAUAGUAAGAUAAUAUAUUGGAAUGUUUUGUAACAAAGACAAAUGGAACGUAUCAAGAAAACUAGUCAUCAUUUGAACUGAUAAAACAACAGAAUUGGCGUUUUACUGAGGGGAAUAUUUUAAAGGGAAGGAAGAUUAAGAAGAAGAGUAGCUGCUGCUUCAGCAAGAGAUAACAGGGAUCCUAGUACAACACUAAAUACCAAAGGACGAUGGAAGCGAGGACGGUGUGGCAUCACUGCUAGUCGACUGGAGGAAAGGUCAAUGGUCUCUGGGGUCAACCACCUAUUCAACAUAAGCAGGAGGACUAAGGGCUGAUUGUUGUGCUCAAAGGAGAGAGGGGGGUUUCAU